rnacentral:rRNA from 1 species
GACGAACGCUGGCGGCGUGCUUAACACAUGCAAGUCGAACGGUGAUCUCGGUGCUUGCACCGGGUGAUCAGUGGCGAACGGGUGAGUAACACGUGAGUAACCUGCCCCCGACUCUGGGAUAACCCCGGGAAAUCGGAGCUAAUACCGGAUACGAGACGCACAGGCAUCUGUAGCGUCUGGAAAGAAUUUCGGUCGGGGAUGGACUCGCGGCCUAUCAGCUUGUUGGUGGGGUAACGGCCCACCAAGGCGACGACGGGUAGCCGGCCUGAGAGGGCGACCGGCCACACUGGGACUGAGACACGGCCCAGACUCCUACGGGAGGCAGCAGUGGGGAAUAUUGCACAAUGGGCGCAAGCCUGAUGCAGCGACGCCGCGUGGGGGAUGAAGGCCUUCGGGUUGUAAACCCCUUUCAGCAGGGAAGAAGCGCAAGUGACGGUACCUGCAGAAGAAGCGCCGGCUAACUAC